CUUUUCAUUUGAAGGGGGGUACAAUUACAAGUACAAUGCUUCUCAUAAUCAUUCAUUAUUAUAAAAUCACCUGUCAGUCAAUAUUAACCUAGAAUCACAAUAACUAAAUAAACAAUCUCACACUUCAUAGAUGAAAACCCAAGAAGCCGAGACCUAAAGACCCACUAUUAGCUACAAACUGUCGUACUCUUAAUUAUGAAGAAAUUUAAAUUAAGUUUUAAAUCAGAAUACCUAAAAAAACAAUGGCAUCCUUGAUAGAAAAUUUUCUU
rnacentral:lncRNA from 1 species